rnacentral:rRNA from 1 species
UACGAAGGGGGCUAGCGUUGUUCGGAAUUACUGGGCGUAAAGCGCGCGCAGGCGGUCUUCCAAGUCAGUGGUGAAAGCCCGGAGCUCAACUCCGGAACUGCCAUUGAAACUGUUAGACUUGAGGAUGAGAGAGGUGAGUGGAAUUCCCAGUGUAGAGGUGAAAUUCGUAGAUAUCGGGAGGAACACCAGUGGCGAAGGCGGCGACCUGGGCCAAUAUUGACGCUGAGGUGCGAAAGCGUGGGGAGCAAACAGG